UGACGCAGCAACGCCGCGUGAGUGAAGAAGGCCUUCGGGUCGUAAAGCUCUGUCAUAGCCGACGAAGAAUGACUGUAAGCUAUGAGGAAGCCACGGCUAACUACGUGCCAGCAGCCGCGGUAAUACGUAGGUGGCGAGCGUUGUCCGGAAUUACUGGGCGUAAAGGGUGCGUAGGCGGAUAAUCAAGUCAGAUGUGAAAGUCCAUGGCUCAACUGUGGGAGUGCAUUUGAGACUGAAGAUCUAGAGUGCAGGAGAGGGAAGCGGAAUUCCUAGUGUAGCGGUGAAAUGCGUAGAUAUUAGGAAGAACACCAGUGGCGAAGGCGGCUUUCUGGACUGUAACUGACGCUGAAGCACGAAAGCGUGGGGAGCAAACAGGAUUAGAUACCCUGGUAGUCCACGCUGUAAACGAUGAGUAUUAGGUGUAGGGGACGAUAGUCUUCUGUGCCGGAGCAAACGCAAUAAAUACUCCGCCUGG
rnacentral:rRNA from 1 species